rnacentral:rRNA from 1 species
GUGGGGAAUUUUGGACAAUGGGCGAAAGCCUGAUCCAGCCAUGCCGCGUGCAGGAUGAAGGCCUUCGGGUUGUAAACUGCUUUUGUACGGAACGAAAAGACUCCUUCUAAUAAAGGGGGUCCAUGACGGUACCGUAAGAAUAAGCACCGGCUAACUACGUGCCAGCAGCCGCGGUAAUACGUAGGGUGCAAGCGUUAAUCGGAAUUACUGGGCGUAAAGCGUGCGCAGGCGGUUAUAUAAGACAGAUGUGAAAUCCCCGGGCUCAACCUGGGAACUGCAUUUGGGACUGUAUAGCUAGAGUACGGUAGAGGGGGAUGGAAUUCCGCGUGUAGCAGUGAAAUGCGUAGAUAUGCGGAGGAACACCGAUGGCGAAGGCAAUCCCCUGGACCUGUACUGACGCUCAUGCACGAAAGCGUGGGGAGCAAACAGGAUUAGAUACCCCGGUAGUCC